AACGUAGGGGGCGAGCGUUAUCCGGAAUCACUGGGUGUAAAGGGUACGCAGGCGGAUUUGUAAGUUGGAUGUAAAAACUCAGGGCUCAACCUUGAGCUUGCAUCCAAUACUACAAGUCUAGAGAGCAGGAGAGGGGAGUGGAAUUCCCGGUGUAGGGGUAAAAUCCGUAGAUAUCGGGAGGAACACCAAUGGCGAAGGCGGCCAUCUGGCUGGUAACUGACGCUGAGGUGCGAGAGCGUGGGGAGCAAACAGG
rnacentral:rRNA from 1 species